GACGAACGCUGGCGGCGUGCUUAACACAUGCAAGUCGAACGGAAAGGCCCUGCUUUUGUGGGGUGCUCGAGUGGCGAACGGGUGAGUAACACGUGAGUAACCUGCCCUUGACUUUGGGAUAACUUCAGGAAACUGGGGCUAAUACCGGAUAGGAGCUCCUGCUGCAUGGUGGGGGUUGGAAAGUUUCGGCGGUUGGGGAUGGACUCGCGGCUUAUCAGCUUGUUGGUGGGGUAGUGGCUUACCAAGGCUUUGACGGGUAGCCGGCCUGAGAGGGUGACCGGCCACCUUGGGACUGCGAUACGGCCCAGACUCCUACGGGACGCAGCAGUGGGGAAUAUUGCACAAUGGGCGGAAGCCUGAUGCAGCAACGCCGCGUGCGGGAUGACGGCCUUCGGGUUGUAAACCGCUUUCGCCUGUGACGAAGCGUGAGUGACGGUAAUGGGUAAAGAAGCACCGGCUAACUACGUG
rnacentral:rRNA from 1 species